rfam:Setaria italica strain Yugu1 chromosome VI, whole genome shotgun sequence.
GCGAGGAGAGUGAGCCAGGCUAGCCAAGGAGACUGCCGGUGAGACCACCCCAAGGCUCAUCGACGACCAUCUGCUGAUGACGACGACGAUCCUUUCAGGGAAAGAUCAGGUCGACACAGGCAAGUCAUCCUUGGCUACCAGAGCUACUAAAACCCUCAUCG